AAUAGAUACCCCGGUAGUCCACGCCGUAAACGAUGGAUGCUAGCUGUUAGGAGUAUCGACCCUCCUAGUAGCGUAGCUAACGCGUUAAGCAUCCCGCCUGUGGAGUACGGUCGCAAGACUAAAACAUAAAGGAAUUGACGGGGGACCCGCACAAGCGGUGGGGCGUGUUGUUUAAUUCGAUGGUAAGCGAAGAACCUUACCCAGGCUUGACAUCCCACUAAGGACUCCGAAAGGAGACUGUGUCUUCGGACCGUGGUGACAGGUGUUGCAUGGCCGUCGUCAGCUCGUGUCGUGAGAUGUUUGGUUAAGUCCAUCAACGAGCGCAACCCUUAUAGUUAGUUGUAUUUUUCUAGCUAGACUGCCCUGGCAACAGGGAGGAAGGAGGGGAUGAUGUCAGGUCAGUAUUACCCUUACGGCCUGGGGCUACAAACACGCUACAAUGGCCGGUACAAAGGGCAGCCAACCCGCGAGGGGGAGCAAAUCCCAUCAAAGCCGGUCUCAGUUCGGAUUGCAGGCUGAAACUCGCCUGCAUGAAG
rnacentral:rRNA from 1 species